AACAAUUCACUUCAGUUCAAUAAAAUAUAGGAAUUUAUGAAUCAAAUUUAGGCUUGAAUAGAUUCUAGUUAACUUUUUGUACUAUAAGCUUUGUCAGUUUCUGACUCAUUUAGUAUAUUCAAUGACGAUCAAUUGUGAAAUCACAUGACAAUAUGAAAUUUUGAUAGGCUUGGUGUGCAUCUUAAGAACAUGUUGGUUUACAUCUUUAGAACAUGAACAAGUAUUAUUAAGCAAUUUUUAAAAAGUUGAUUUAUGGUUAGUUAAAAUGUUGUAUAACUUUUAUUAAAAUUUUUUUAGAGCGAACAAAAACAUUGGUGUGACAUGCAAAAAAGUUAUAUUUGGUCAAUACGUUGAUACUCGAUCAUUUGAAGAGAGCUCCUUAUAGAAUAGCAUAAAAAAUAUUUUAUAAUGUUUUUGAAUACUUUCAUUAUAAACAAAUACAAAAUAAUUAAACUUU